rnacentral:rRNA from 1 species
ACCCGAGCAGUUCCGUAGCCAACGCGUUUAGUAUCCCGCCUGGGGAGUACGCUCGCAAGAGUUAAACUCUAAGUAAUUGACGUGGGCCCGCACAAGCGGUGGAGUAUGUGGUUUAAUUCGAUGCUACGCGAAGAACCUUACCAGGGCUUGACAUGUCCGGAACCUUUCCGAGAGGUGAGGGUGCCUUCGGGAGCCGGUACACAGUUGGUUGCAUGGCUGUCGUCAGCUCGUGUCCUGAGAUGUUGGGUUAAGUCCCGCUACGAGCGCAACCCACGUUCUUAGUUGCCAGCAUUGAGUUGGGCACUCUAGGGAGACUGCCGGUGACAAACCGGAGGAAGGUGUGGAUGACGUCAAGUCAGCAUGCCCCUUACGUCCUGGGCUACACACGUACUACAAUGCUGUGGACAAAGGGCAGCCAGCCAGCGAUGGUGAGCUAAUCCCAGAAACCACGGCUCAGUUCAGAUUGCAGGCUGCAACUCGCCUGCAUGAAGGAGGAAUCGCUAGUAAUCGCAGGUCAGCAUACUGCGGUGAAUACGUUCCCGGGCCUUGACACACCGCCCGUCACACCAUGGGAGUUGGUUUUGCCCGAAGUCGUACUCCAACCUUAGGGAGGGGACGCC